rnacentral:rRNA from 1 species
GAGGCACGCUGGCGGCGUGUCUUAGCCAUGCAAGUCGAGCGGACUUAUGGGGUAACUUAUAAGUCAGCGGCGGACGGCGGAGUAACACGUAGCUAACCUACCCUCUGGACGGGGAUAACCUACCGAAAGGUGGGCUAAUACCCGAUGUAGUCAUCCUGUAUAGGGGCGAUGAAAGGUGGGCUUCUGUUUACAAGCUCAUGCUGGAGGAGGGGGCUGCGGCCUAUCAGGUAGUUGGUAGGGUAAUAGCCUACCAAGCCGAUGACGGGUAGCCGGCCUGAGAGGGUGACCGGCCCGAGGGGCACUGAGAUACGGGUCCCACUCCUACGGGAGGCAGCAGGCUAGAAAUUUGGGCAAUGGGGGAAACCCUGACCCAGUGACGCCGCGUGCAGGAAGGAGCCCUUCGGGGUGUAAACUGCUGUCGUGUAGGGAGAAGGGUACUAAGGUGAACAAUCUUAGUACUUGACGGUACUACAGGAGGAAGCCCAGGCUAACCUCGUG